rnacentral:rRNA from 1 species
GAUUAACGCUGGCGGCGUGCAUAACACAUUCAAGUCGAACGGUGAAGGGACUUCGGUCCCGGAUCAGUGGCGGGCGGGUGAGUAACGCGUGAGCAAUCUACCUCUUGGUGAGGGAUAACAACCGGAAACAGUUGCUAAUACCUCAUGAAACGGCAAUCUCGCAUGGGAUAACCGUCAAAGAUUUAUUGCCAAGAGAUGAGCUUGCGUCUGAUUAGCUAGUUGGUGAGGUAACGACCCACCAAGGCGACGAUCGGUAGCCGGACUGAGAGGUUGAACGGCCACAUUGGAACUGAGAUACGGUCCAG